UUCAGCCCGUGUGUUUGGAUCUCCAGAGCAUGAAAGACUUUGAAAAGCAAAGACAAUCUGACCUUCUUUCCGGUCUCCCUUCAUUCUUCCGUGCCUGUCUUCAUGAAGGUCAAGUGUCUUCUGCCGUCUCAAAUGCAAAAAUAAAACUCAUGCUUCUUGCCUCCGUGGAAGCAAUGUUGCUCUCUAACAGCAAAUGAAAACUCUUGAGAGUUUGUUGUUGCUGUAGUAAGGAGUCUGCACCCUGAAAACACUGUGAAGCAAUGAUCUGCAUUACAGUUAAGAAGCAGCCCACUUUCAAAGACAGAAUAUUAGGCAAGAUGAGCCACACUUCUGCUUUGGAACAGCAAAUGCAGUGCUCACAGAAAAGUGCUAGUAUUGUGGGACCUUGCUCUGAUUCACUCAGUAGGGAGGGAGUGCUGAGGGACCUGGGAGUUUUUGCUAGGACACUCUCCAUUAUCUCUGGUAAGUUGUGGGGGACAGGAGAGGUGCCUAAGGACUGGAGGAAUGCAAAUGUCACUCCAGUCAUCAGGAAGGGCAAGAAGGAAGACCCCAGGUAACUACAGACUAGUCAGCCUCACUUCCAUCUCCAGAAAGGUGAUGGAACAAGUUAUCCUUGGUCUCUAGGCGUAUCAAGGAUAAGAGAGUCUUUAGGGGUAGUCAGCAUGGCUUCAUCAAGGGGAAGUUUUGCUUGACCAACCUGAUAGCCUUUAGGAAGACAUAACCAAGUGGAUAAAUUGAUGGUAAAGCAGCAGAUGUGGUCUAUCUUGAUUGCAGUAAAGCAUUUGACACCGUCUUCCAGAGCACCCUUGCAG
rnacentral:lncRNA from 1 species